rnacentral:other from 1 species
AAACCCCUGCCGUGCACGUGAUCGGCAGAAGUUUUUUUGAGCCAACGCGUACCCAAACGGGAACCUUCUCUUGCUUCGGUGUGCAUGUUCUGUCGCCCACAGAAAAGCCUAAAGGAGCAACAAGGUGCCCACCUGUGCAAACAGGUUCAAGAAAAUCUGCGGACACGGCAUUGUGGCGGGGGUACC